CUGAUAAGCAACCUUGAUGCCAUCUGCAACCUUAAUGCCCAUUUGCCACAUCUGAACACAUGCACUUCAGAACUGAGAUGGUGCCAAGCCUGAGAUCAGCUGGACGGUCUGAAGAGUUUGGAAGGAAACUGAAGAUGCAGACUCUAGAAUCAUGAAAACCGACGAUUGAAGACUAUCUCUACCACUUCCUUACUCUGUGACUUAGAAAGAUGCCGAAAGUUUCUGUUCCUUAGGUUCUGCUUUGAUUAAAUAAAAGUAAGUAACAAUCCUUGUAUAUAUGUACA
rnacentral:lncRNA from 1 species